AUGGUAUAUGGCCCCCAUGAUGACCAGCGUAAGAACGAGUUCCUCGCAGAGCUUGCCUCAAUUCAUAAUACCAUGACCGUCCCGUGGCUCCUCAUUGGGGACUUCAACCUCAUUAGAAACCCGCAGGACAAGAACAACUCAAGAGUUUGCCAGCGUUGGAUGAAAAAAUUUAGACGAACCCUGAACUCCUCGAGCCUCCAUGAAAUACCUCUAAUUGGGCGCAGAUUCACUUGGAGCAACGAGCAAGCCACCCCUACCCUAGUGCGCCUUGAUCGGGCCUUCUUUAAUAUUGAUUGGGAAUUGAUCUUCCCUAUGGCCAAGCUCCUCCCGCAAUCUUCUACCAUAUCCGACCACUGA
rnacentral:rRNA from 1 species